GCAGGGUGUGAUGGCACAUGCCAGUAAUCCCAGUGGCUCUGGAGGCUGAGGCAGGGGGAUUGUGAGUUUAAGGCCAGCCUCAGCAACUUAGUGAGGCCCUAAGCAACUUAGCAAGACCCUGUCUCAA
rnacentral:sRNA from 1 species